UUAAAUGCAUUGACCAAGAGUUUAAUUGUUAGGGCACACAGAGAGUGAAUGAAAGCUGAGAAAUUCAUGUGUUAAAACGAUUAAUGUUGCUUGUGAGCAGUUAUGUUGAAUUAAUAAAGAUGUAAUCGGUACUAGCCGUUAUCUAGUUAAGUUGGAAUUAGUAAUAAUUCAAUUUAGGUGGUACCGCGAGCAUUCGUCCUAUUC
rnacentral:ncRNA from 1 species